rnacentral:rRNA from 1 species
AUUGAACGCUGGCGGCAGGCCUAACACAUGCAAGUCGAGCGGAGCGGCGGACGCGAGAGUAAUUCCUAGGAAUCUGCCUGGUAGUGGGGGAUACCGUCCGGAAACGGGCGCUAAUACCGCAUACUAUCAGAUGAGCCUAGGGCGGAUGAGCGAGGUGGUGGGGUAAAGGCCUACCAAGGCGCAGAUCCGUAACUGGCCUGAGAGGAUGAUCAGUCACACUGGAACUGAUACACGGUCCAGACUCCUACGGGAGGCAGCAGUGGGGAAUAUUGGACAAUGGGCGAAAGCCUGAUGCAGCCAUGCCGCGUGUGUGAAGAAGGUCUUCGGAUUGUAAAGCACUUUAAGUUGGGAGGCGUUACCAACAGAAUAAGCACCGGCUAACUUCGUGCCAGCAGCCGCGGUAAUAC